rnacentral:rRNA from 1 species
CUAGCAUAUCAAUAAGCGGAGGAAAAGAAACCAACAGGGAUUGCCUCAGUAACGGCGAGUGAAGCGGCAAGAGCUCAAAUUUGAAAGCUGGCCCCUUCGGGGUCCGCGUUGUAAUUUGCAGAGGAUGCUUCGGGUGCAGCCCCCGUCUAAGUGCCCUGGAACGGGCCGUCAUAGAGGGUGAGAAUCCCGUCUGGGACGGGGUGUCUGCGUCCGUGUGAAGCUCCUUCGACGAGUCGAGUUGUUUGGGAAUGCAGCUCUAAAUGGGUGGUAAAUUUCAUCUAAAGCUAAAUACUGGCCGGAGACCGAUAGCGCACAAGUAGAGUGAUCGAAAGAUGAAAAGCACUUUGAAAAGAGAGUUAAACAGCACGUGAAAUUGUUGAAAGGGAAGCGUUUGCGACCAGACUCGCCCGCGGGGUUCAGCCGGCAUUCGUGCCGGUGUACUUCCCCGUGGGCGGGCCAGCGUCGGUUUGGGCGGCCGGUCAAAGGCCCUCGGAAUGUAUCACCUCUCGGGGUGUCUUAUAGCCGAGGGUGCAAUGCGGCCUGCCUGGACCGAGGAACGCGCUUCGGCUCGGACGCUGGCGUAAUGGUCGUAAAUGACCCGUCUUGAAACACGGACCAAGGAGUCUAACAUCUACGCGAGUGUUCGGGUGUCAAACCCGUACGCGCAGUGAAAGCGAACGGAGGUGGGAGCCCCCUCGCGGGGCGCACCAUCGACCGAUCCUGAUGUCUUCGGAUGGAUUUGAGUACGAGCGUAGCUGUGGGGACCCGAAAGAUGGUGAACUAUGCCUGAAUAGGGCG